rnacentral:rRNA from 1 species
CCUACGGGAGGCAGCAGUGGGGAAUAUUGCACAAUGGGGGAAACCCUGAUGCAGCGACGCCGCGUGAGCGAAGAAGUAUUUCGGUACGUAAAGCUCUAUCAGCAGGGAAGAAAAUGACGGUACCUGACUAAGAAGUCCCGGCUAACUACGUGCCAGCAGCCGCGGUAAUACGUAGGGGGCAAGCGUUAUCCGGAUUUACUGGGUGUAAAGGGAGCGUAGACGGCAGCGCAAGUCUGGAGUGAAAUCCCAUGGCUUAACCAUGGAACUGCUUUGGAAACUGAGCAGCUAGAGUGCAGGAGAGGUAAGCGGAAUUCCUAGUGUAGCGGUGAAAUGCGUAGAUAUUAGGAGGAACACCAGUGGCGAAGGCGGCUUACUGGACUGUAACUGACGUUGAGGCUCGAAAGCGUGGGGAGCAAACAGGAUUAGAUACCCUAGUAGUC